AUUGAACGCUGGCGGCAGGCCUAACACAUGAAAGUCGAGCGGAACGGCGGACGGGUGAGUAAAGCCAAGGAAUCAGACUGGUAGUGGUGGCUACCUUCAGGAAACGGGCGCUAUUACAGCAUACUAUCAGAUCAGCCUAUGUCGGAUUAGCUAGUUGGUGAGGUAAAGGCCUACAAAGUCGACGAUCCGUAAAUGGUCUGAGAGGAUGAUCAAGCACACGGGAACUGAUACACGGUCCAGACACCUAGGGGAGGCAGAAGUUGGGAAUAUUGUACAAUGGGCGAAAGCAUGAUCCAGCCAUGCCGCGUGUGGGAAGAAGGUCUUCGGGUUGUAAAGCACUUUAAGUUGUGAGGCGUUACCAACAGAAGAAGCACCGGCUAACUUCGUGCCAGCAGCCGCGGUAAUAC
rnacentral:rRNA from 1 species